CACUGCAACGUACGACAAGCUAUAGCGAAGAUGGCCAUGGCCAGGAGCUUCAGCCUCGUGCUCGUCGCCUUCACCUUGCUCUGCUGCUACGCCUCCUCCGUCUCCUCCCAGGGUAACUCGUCGGAUGGCUUCCUCUCGUGCCUGUCGGCGAGCAUCCCCCGCCAGCUCGUGUUCACGCCGAGCUCGCCCUCGUUCACGCCGCUGCUCAAGUCCUCCAUCCGGAACCCCAAGUUCUUCACGCCGAGCAUCGUCAGGCCGCUGUAUAUCAUCACGCCGACGAACGCCUCCCACGUGCAGGCCGCCGUGCUGUGCGGCCGCCGGAGCGGGCUGCGCAUCCGCGUGCGCAGCGGCGGGCACGACUACGAGGGCCUGUCGUACCGGUCCGUGCGCGCCGAGUCGUUCGCCGUGCUCGACAUGUCGAGCCUCCGCUCCGUGCGGGUCGACGCGCAGGCCGCGACCGCGUGGGUGGACUCCGGCGCCCAGCUCGGCGAGCUCUAUUAUGCGAUCGGGAAGGCGAGCGGCGUGCUCGGGUUCCCCGGCGGCCUGUGCCCGACCGUCGGCGUCGGAGGCCAUUUCAGCGGCGGCGGCUUCGGCAUGCUGCUGCGCAAGUACGGCAUGGCCAUCGACAACGUCAUCGACGCCGUGCUGGUGGACGCCAAGGGGAGGCUCCUGAACAAGAACACCAUGGGGAGCGACGUCUUCUGGGCUCUCCGAGGCGGCGGCGGCGAGAGCUCCUGCCCGUCCCGCCCAAGGUCACGGUGUUCAACGUCCCUGUGACCGCCAGCCAGGGCGCCGCGGACCUCGUCACCAGGUGGCAGCAGGUCGCGCCGGCCCUGCCGGAGGACCUGAUCAUCAGGGUGGUCGUCCAGCAGAAGACGGCCAACUUCCAGUCCCUGUUCCUCGGCACGUGCGACGCGCUGCUGCCGGUGAUGAGCAGCCGCUUCCCGGAGCUGCGGUUCAACCGCUCCGACUGCCGGGAGAUGACCUGGAUCCAGUCCGUGCCCUACAUCUACCUCGGCAGCGCCUCGACCGUGGAGGACCUGCUGAACCGGACCACCGCCGAGUCCGUCUUCAGCAGCGGCUACAAGGCGACGUCCGACUACGUGCGGCAGGCCAUCCCGCGGGACGCGUGGGCCAGCAUCUUCACCAAGCUCGCGCAGCCCAACGCGGGGCUCAUGAUCCUGGACCCCUACGGCGGGCAGAUCGCGGCCGUGCCGGAGGCGGCGACGCCGUACCCGCACCGCGCCGGCGUGCUCUACAACAUCCAGUACAUGAACUUCUGGUCGAUGGCGUCGGGGGACGGGGCCGUGCAGACCAGGUGGAUCAGGGAGUUCUACGCGUUCAUGGCGCCGUUCGUGAGCUCCGGCCCGAGGGAAGCCUACUUCAACUACAGGGACCUGGACCUCGGCGAGAACGUCGUCGUCGGCAACGUCAGCAGCUACCAGGCCGGGAUGGUCUGGGGCCAGAAGUACUUCAAGGGUAACUACCAGAGGCUGGCGAUGGCCAAGGGCCAGAUCGACCCCGACGACUACUUCAGGAACGAGCAGAGCAUCCCGCCAUUUGCCAAUAGCAGGUGAUCGAUCAGCAAAAUGGGCCGCUAGCUAAGUACUCCCUCCUUUCGGAAUUACUUGUCGCGGAAAUGGAUGUAUCUAGAUGUAUUUUAGUUCUAGAUACAUUCAUUUCCGAGACAAGUAAUUCCGAACGGAGGGAGUAGCUAGCUACACAUUUAUCUUUAUUUGUACAUGUAUUUGUUGAUAUUGGUUUGAGAUUGCUUACCACAAUUAAUGAUUGUGUGGUAUAUAUGUACAUGCAUUUGUAUCUUGAACAAAUUUUAUAAUAAAAUUACACAUUGUGUGAAAGUUCAGC